rnacentral:tRNA from 1 species
GGCCCGGUAGCUCAGUUGGUUAGAGCGCCAGCCUGUCACGUUGGAGGUCGAGGGUUCGAACCCCUUCCGGGUCG